rnacentral:misc_RNA from 1 species
ACACCUCAACUCUCAUGGCUCGCCGUGAUGAGCUUGGACUUUGGGGGUCUUGCCGGCCUGUAGUUGGCUCCUCUCAAAUGAAUCAGCUUACCAGUGUUUGGUGGCAUCACAGGUGUGAUAACUAUCUACGCUUGUGGUUCUCCACCAGGUAACCUUCAGCGAUGGAGGUUCGCUGGGGCUCAUAAAUGUCUCUCCUCGGUGGGGACAGCUCUCUGAAC